rnacentral:rRNA from 1 species
CAGCAGUGAGGAAUUUUUCACAAUGGGCGAAAGCCUGAUGGAGCAAUACCACGUGAACGAUGAAGGUCUUCUGAUUGUAAAGUUCUUUUAUUUAGGAAAAAAAGCAGGAUAGGAAAUGAUUCUGUCGUGAUUGUACUAAUUGAAUAAGUGACAGCUAACUAUGUGCCAGCAGCUGCGGUAAAACAUAGGUCACGAGCAUUAUCCGGAUUUAUUGGGCGUAAAGGAAGCGUAGGUGGAGGAGUUGAUCCAUUGUCAAAAGCAUCUGCUUAACAGGUGUCCGCGAUGGAUAUCGCUUCUCUAGAAUUAGUUAGGGGGUACUGGAAUUCAAUGUGUAGCGGUGGAAUGCGUAGAUAUAUUGAGGAACACCAGAGGCUAAGGCGAGUACCUGGGACAUAAUUGACACUGAGGCUUGAAAGCGUGGGGAGCAAAUGGGAUUAGAUACCCCAGUAGUCCACGCCGUAAACGAUGGGUAUUAGGUAUUUGGUUUAAAACUGAGUGCUGUAGCUAACGCGUUAAAUACCCCGCCUGGGUAGUAUAUAUGCAAAUAUGAAACUCAAAGAAAUUGACGGGGACCUGAACAAGUGGUGGAGCAUGUUGCUUAAUUCGAUAAUACACGCAAAACCUUACCAAGGCUUGUAAUCUACUGCGAAACUAUAGAAAUAUAGUGGAGGGUAUCGGUAUGACAGGUGGUGCA